rnacentral:rRNA from 1 species
GGGAUUGCCUCAGUAACGGCGAGUGAAGCGGCAACAGCUCAAAUUUGAAAUCUGGCCCUUUCUGGGGUCCGAGUUGUAAUUUGUAGAGAGUGUUUCGGGCGAGACCACGGUCUAAGUCCAUUGGAACAUGGCGUCAUAGAGGGUGAGAAUCCCGUCUGCGACCGUGGCUCGAGCCCAUGUGAAGCCUCUUCGACGAGUCGAGUUGUUUGGGAAUGCAGCUCAAAAUGGGUGGUAAAUUUCAUCUAAAGCUAAAUACUGGCUGGAGACCGAUAGCGCACAAGUAGAGUGAUCGAAAGAUGAAAAGCACUUUGGAAAGAGAGUUAAACAGUACGUGAAAUUGUUGAAAGGGAAGCGCUUGCAACCAGACCUGUCCGUAGGUGAUCAGCCGCUGUUCUCAGCGGUGCACUCGCUCUGCGAUCAGGCUAGCAUCGGUUUCGGCGACCGGAUAAAGGCCUUGGGAAUGUAGCUUCCUUUCGGGGGAGUCUUAUAGCCUUCGGUGCAAUGCGGCCAGCCGGGACCGAGGACCGCGCUUCGGCUAGGAUGCUGGCGUAAUGGUUGUAA